AGCAGCUAGAGGAGUAGGAGCUCCUGCAGUUAGGAUGCGAGGAGAAGCCUAACAAUUCAUAGAUUGUAGAGUCGGAAGGGACCACAAUGGAUCAUCAUGUCUGACCCCCUGCCCCUGGCAGGAAAAAGUACCGAGGUCAGAUGACCCCAGCCAGCCCCAGCUCCUGAAGACAGAGGGUUGUAUGGGAAUCUUACCUCUCCCUGAAAGAAAUGUCCAGCCAUCUUGGUUGCAGAGAAAAGCUGCUUUUCUGGAAUAAGUUCAAAGAAAAUACAUGCAGAAAAAGGCUAAUGGCAAUUAAAUGCAACAGAGUAGGGAGAUGAAUGCUCCAAGAGCCUUAUCAGAGCUGUUCUGCACUGUUGCUGAAUUUACUCCAAGUACCUUGUUUUUUAAUCUGAUUUGCUCUGUUCUCUAGGUCUGACCUGCAAGUCCCAGUUCACACCUGCAAUCCCAUGUCAUUAAGAGACCCCUGAUUUCUCAUUUUACCCUCUGUUAUGUUCUAUAGCUGCAGAUACCUUCCUUUGAAUUUUAACAGCUCAGAUGCAUGCCAUCCCUUUGCAAGAAUCUUUCUUUCUCAUUUCUUCCCAGGCUCUGAAUUCUAGCUCAGACAUGCAUUCGUGAUGUAAGCAGAAACCCCCAUGACACAUUUUCCAUUCUAUUCAGCCUUUAAGAACAAAGUUCCUUACCAACCAACUAUAUGAAAACGACAUUCAUUUGCUCCAUUGUGCUUGUUAGCAAGUUUCCACAGAAUAAAUGCUUUAAUAUAUCUCUGAAUGACAGACUCUGCCUUAUUCUGGCUAAUCUGGAUUGAAUAUUUCUGAAGCAGCUCAGGAAGAGAGGCAAGCAUGUCCUGCAGUGCCACAGAGAGAGAUUCCUGCAGGGAUGUGUUCCUGAAUAUUUUUUAGUAAAAAAUAAAUAUGAGACUAGACACAGAGUUGGUAGGGCUCAGCAUACCACACUCGGGGAGUAGGUGAGGUAAACUGUAUUGCUUUAAUGAGAAAUGCUGCCUAAGAGGAAAAACCUCUUCUAUAUUACCUUCAUAACUCAUCUUCAUGAUGCAAACAUAAACAAAUCAUGAAGUUCCACUCGCUCUAGGAGACUUCUAAUAUCUGAUCUGGAAAGAGCUCUCUCCAAAUCUGGAACUAGAAAUAGCUCAGCGUGCAUUUUGCAGUCCUGAGCCUACAUGUACAUGUAAGGCAAGUAGCAAAUCAGGGCUAGGUGUUUUAACACAGUCCUGUGGACUAGACCUAUGAUUAUUCCUGGAAGCAAUAUUGGAAACUGAAUUAAGGACCUUUACACAUCAGGGACUUAAUUUCCUAGCUGCUAGAUUACAUGACAUAUGGCAGCAGUCCUAGCUGCAGCAGGGUGUGAGGAGUACCUGCUGACUGAAAGCAGCUCAAGAAAGGCCUGAGGAGUCCCAGCAACUUGUUUGCUGAAUACAAUAUGGCUAGAGAGAAUUCCUGUUGAUGUUAGUCCAAGUCAUUUAAAGACCCUGAGCAAACAGUGAACACUGAGAGAAUCCUUUGAAACUUCUGGAUAUAUGUCUGUAAGAUACUCCUUUGCAUAGAGAAGUCUGGACCUGAUGCCAGCGUACAAUGAAGUACUAAGGCAUGGGGAUGAAUAACUAGCCUUUUCCUUUUUCUCUCUCCCAACAACUCUGCAUGAUGAUAUAUUAGUAAGAGAUGUAGCAUAGGCCCCUAUGAUACUUCAGUGGUUUCAAGUAACAGGCACAGCCUUUCAGGAACAUGAAUGCACCAGGAAAGUACUUGGGAUAAUUAGUGAAGAGUGCUCCAUUGAACUGAAUGGAAUUCAUUAAGUUUUUUGGGAUCACAAAAUUCCUUUUUGAACAGCUUUUGUUGUGGGUUUUUUGCUGCUGUGAAACACUUCCAUCAGAAACCAGCACAGACCUCAGAAUGGACUUGAGUCAGUAGAGACAAAUGUAAAUGGGAGAGGAAUUUACCCUGAACAUUAUGGACCAAGUUCUCUUGUAUUAUAAAGGAGAGAAGAGGGUCUCUCCUUUAAAGUUAAUUCAAAUGGAACAGGAAAGUUAUGAAUUCCUGAUUAUCAGCUGGGGUAAAUCUGCACAGCUCCACUGACUUCAGAAGAAAGGAGAUCCACUUACUUCGAAGAAGUUGUACUGAUUUACAGAAGUCAAGGGUCUGAUCUUCUUUGGAGCUGCACCAAUCAGUACACAAAGCUCAUUGGGGAGGACAGUAUCCACUUGUAGCAGUUUUGGGGGAAAAGCACGUGACUACACUAAAGAGCACCACAGCUAGUUCCAAAGGCAGAACUGAUGGAAAACAGGGGCCACAGACAAAGAUAUAAAAAGUGGCAAUAAAAAAGAACUCUCUUGGUGGCAGGUUGCCAGUUCCAGCUGGCUUAACAAGUAUAUUUCAGAAUAAAAAUACACAAUACACAGCCAAAAACCCCCCAUUAAAAUAAAAUAUCCAUGCACUCAAUCUGUCACCUACAUUUCUUUCAACAGAACAUUCUUACUUCUUAAAAUCUGUCAGCCGUAGAUGGGAGCAAGAUUACACUGUGGGUACAAAUAGGAUCCAAUACAUUUCUGCAGUAUCAAAUACAAGCAUAUCUUGUAUUUCUGGACACAGAGGGUUACUCCCUCUAUCCCUCACCAGUGACUCUGGUCUCAAAAUAUAGACUGUAUCCUUGGGUAAGAGGGAAGUGAACUUUUCCUAAUACUGUUAGUGUUUCCUCUGUUGCACACAAGGAUAUCUACAGGAGUCUGAAACUACAGUAACUUCUACUAGCCUGGUACUGUGGACAAUUCUAUGCCACUGAUAAUGCAUGUGCAUAGGUCUGUAAACUUUCAUACUUUGUUAGAUGUUUUUCCUUUGCAAAAAACCUAAUUUGUACCAAGGACUUAUAUAGUCCUAAUGAUUUCUGAGGUAAAUCAGAAUCAGCACAGGUUCAAUGGCAU